rnacentral:rRNA from 1 species
UAGUCCACGCCGUAAACGAUGAGAACUAGAUGUCGGGGGGAUUUAGCCCUUCGGUGUCGCAGCUAACGCGUUAAGUUCUCCGCCUGGGGAGUACGGUGGCAACACUAAAACUCAAAGGAAUUGACGGGGACCCGCACAAGCGGUGGAGCAUGUGGUUUAAUUCGAUGCAACGCGAAGAACCUUACCUGCCCUUGACAUUGACAGAACCCUGUAGAGAUACGGGGGUGCCUUCGGGCCUGGAAAACAGGUGCUGCAUGGCUGUCGUCAGCUCGUGUCGUGAGAUGUUGGGUUAAGUCCCGCAACGAGCGCAACCCUUGUCUUUAGUUGCCAUCAUUAAGUUGGGCACUUUAAAGAGACUGCCGGUGACAAACCGGAGGAAGGUAAGGAUGACGUCAAGUCAGCAUGCCCCUUAUGCUCUGGGCUACACACGUGCUACAAUGGCCGUGACAAAGAGUUGCUACUUUGUGAAAACAAGCUAAUCUCAUAAACGCGGCCUCAGUUCGGAUUGCAGGCUGAAA